CUCACUGUUAAAACGGGUAUGCUUAAUGAGCUUCAGGACACUUUUUGUUUCAAAAUAAACUAAAUUAUCUUGCAUUUUACUUCUGCUUGGUCUUCAGUUUCCUUUCUCUGUGGGUUGCAGAGACUUCAUGGAUAAAUGGUUCUUUAUCCUAGCUGCAAAGAUACCUUCACGUCACAGAAGCAGCAAGACAAGUGAGUGACCUGCCUAGCAUCAUACAUCGUGUUACAGAGGAGCUGAGUUUACAUUUUUCUGGCAGUUUCUGCUCUUUGUUUCUUCUUCUCACUUAUAUCAACGUGAAGGACACAUAUAUCUCCAUCCUUGUCCCCACGGCCACGAAGAAAUACGACAGGGCCAAAAACAAAGUCUACACAGGUGGGCAGGAAGCUGGGAGAAGACCCCACGUUCCCGGAGCUUCCCCAUUGCUGGGUUGAUCUUGGUUCUGGAGCGGUGUUCGGUGGAGACUUUGGGAAGUUAUCACGGCUCACAGGUGUGCUGCUCCUGCUGACCUGCCAGGAGACAGAGCAUCUGACCCUGACACUCAAUUAGCAGAACAGACGGCGUGUAACGUAUGCUUGACACUGAUAUGAUUUAACGUUAAUAACUGGUUUUCAAAUAUUUAUUACAAUGGCUGUUUUAAUAAAUAUUUCAUGAACACUAUUUUUUUCAAAAACCCUCUGUUGUCAGCUUUGCUGCCUUAAUUUGCCUUAAUGAGGAUUUUUUAAAAUGCAGUGAUAAAUUGCUUCUCUGCCAAUGUACGGGAGGCAAAGAGAGCUCUUCUGGAAUAUCCGUCAUCUGGGGUAGCAAACCAGGAAAGGACGAAGACCCAGCACAAAAAGAGCCCAAAAAAGGGACAGGCAGCUGUUCCACUGCUCGACAGCUCCUUGGAUACCAGGAAGUGUGUCAGUGACAGAUAGUGGCACAAAGCCCUUGGAGAGGAAACUGAGGAGUAUAGGACCUUCUUGGGAAAUCCUGGAAAACGUAGAAGCAAAGGGAGAGUCCGGGCCCAGCCCUGCUUGGAAGGUGGAGGAGAGCAGAGCCACUCUGGGGCCU
rnacentral:lncRNA from 1 species